GCCAGUUAUAAUAAAGUAUGUAUCUUGGGCAUGGUUUUUCUACUCCUGAUAUCAGUAGAACUCUAUAAGGGUUUAUGGUAGAACCCCAUGCAUUUGAUUUUUAGUUUUGAUUGUGCUGUGGAAAUAGAGGCAAGUUUUAUGUCCCAUAUCCAAAGUUUUUAUUUCCUCAUUUGUAUACCUCAAAAGCUACAUAUGCUAGUCAACUGUCAUAGUAAUAUUAGACCAUAUGUAAGAAUUCUCCAGGAAAAAAAUGUUUUAACUAAGGGCUGGCUUAGGUUUGGGUGUUACUAUGGGAAAUGCCAUAUCACAGUUAGGUGUAAAACAUAGAUAGGGAGAGAACAUAAAAUUUGGGGUUAAGGGUAUAAGGUUCUAAAAGAAAUCCAAGAGGCCAACACUGGCUGCAUUCAUUCAACACCAAUGUCCUUGUUUUUAGGAAGAAGUAGAGAUAGAGAGGGAUGUUGGUGAUGUUGGAUCCUAAUUUCAGUUCCUAUCUCACCACAGGACCUUGGGUAAGUCAUCUGAUAUCUGUUUGUCCCAUCUGUAAGAUCAAUUAUAUGACACAAUAUAGGGAUCAAUGAACUUUUCUGUAAAGGGUCUGAUAGUAAAUUGUUCAGGCUUUGCUGGCCGUAUUGUCUUUGUCACAAUUACCCAACUCUGCCACUGUAGUGCAAAACCAGCCAUAACCAAUGCAAAUAAAUGGGUGUGGUUGUUCCAAUAAAACUUUGUAAGAACAGAUGAUUUGGCCUGUAGGUUGUAGUUUGCCAAGCAAUAGUAUAAUAUCUACUUAACAAAGAUAACUUAAUAUUUAAAGAGGUGCCAUAAGAAGAAAAGUUAAAAUGAUGCAUAGAGAAGGAAGACUUAAAAUG
rnacentral:lncRNA from 10 species